GAUGAACGCUGGCGGCGUGCCUAAUACAUGCAAGUCGAGCGAACAGAUGUGGAGCUUGCUCCUCUGACGUUAGCGGCGGUCGGGUGAGUAACACGUGGAUAACCUACCUAUAAGACUGGGAUAACUUCGGGAAUCCGGAGCUAAUACCGGAUCAUAUAUUCAACCGCCUGGUUCAAUAGUGAAAGACGGUUCUGCUGUCACUUACAGAUGAAUCCGCGCCGCAUUAGCUAGGUGGUAAGGUAACGGCUUACCAAGGCAACGAUGCGUAGCCGACCGGAGCAGGAUAGCUGGCACACUGGGACUGAGGCACGGUCCAAACGCCUACGGGAGACAGCAGUAGGUACUCUGCAGCGAUGGAGUGAGGCCUGAAGGAGCAACGCCGCAUGAGUGAUGAAGGAAUUCUGAUCGUAAAACACUGAUAUUAGGGAAGAACAAAGGUGUAAGUAACUAUGCAAGUCAUGACGGUACCUAAACAGGAAGCCACGGCUAACUACGUG
rnacentral:rRNA from 1 species